rnacentral:lncRNA from 1 species
AAGCGACUCUGCGCGGCCCGAGCCUGGACGGCGGCUCCGAAGGACCAAAAAUUUUUCCCUAGUCCUUUCUCGUCCAAGCUAAAGUUCCUGUGGACUUCCCAGGAAAACGACAGUGUCCGGAAGCCUCUGCAAUGCCCUCUUAGGAUUGUCCAAGAAGAUGGCGAAACAUUUGCAGGCAGCGAUAGGAGUUGAGGGAAUGUGCGGGCUGAAACUAAGGUUUUUUUCUUUUGUUUUGUUUCGUUUUUGAGACGGAGUCUUGCUCUGUCGCCCAGGCUGGAGUCCAGUGGCGCGAUCUCGGCUCACUGCAACCUCCGUCUCCCGGGUUCCAGAGAUUCUCGUGCCUCAGCCUCGCGAGUAGCUGGGAUUACAGGCGUGAGCCACCACGCUUGGUUAAUUUUUGUGUUUUUUGUUUGUUUGUUUUUUGAGACGGAGUCUCUUUCUGUCGCCCAGGAGUGCAGUGGCGCGAUCUCGGCUCACUGCAACCUCCGCCUCCUGGGCUCAAGCGAUUCUCCUGCCUCAGCCUCCUGAGUAGCUGGGAUUACAGGCGCCCGCCACCACGCCCGGAUAAUUUUUUGUAUUUUUAGUAGAGACGGGGUUUCACUAUGUUGGUCAGGCUGGUCUUGAAUUCUUGACCGCGUGAUCCGCCCUCCUCGGCGUCCCAAAGUGCUGCUGGAAUUACAGGUGUGAGCCACCGCGCCCGGCCAAUUUUUUUUUUUUUUUAUUUUUUAGUAGAGACGGGGUUUCGCCAUGUUGGCCAGUCUGGUCUGGAACUCCUGACCUCAAGUGAUCCGCCCUCCUCGGCCUCCCAAAGUGCUGAGAUUACAGAAGUAAGCUACCGCGCCAGGCCUGAAGCCAUGGGUUUUGAGGGGUGUUUAUUUGUUUGUUUGCUUAGAGAUGGGGUCUUGAUCUGUCGCCCAGGCUGGAGUGCGGUGGCGCGAUCAUAGCUCACUGCAGCCUCCAACUCCUGGGCAAGUGAUCCUCCUGCCUCAGCCAACCCAAUAGCUGGGAUUACAGGCGCGAAGCCCACUGGUUUUUAGGUUUCAUGUUGCCUCUCCCACCCCCUCUCCUUCCAGGGGACUGGGGAACGGUGGAGGCUCAUAUAGACCUGAAAGGGGCACGAGGGAUCCUCCCAGGUUGCUGGAAUCUCUAGUAUCUUUACCUAGGUGGUAGAUACGUGGAUGUCUACAUUUUUUAAAAAAAUCAAUUAGACUAUUACAUUUUUAUUUUAUUUUGAGACAGCUUUUCACUCUUGUCACCCAGGCUGGAGCGCAAUAGUGCAAUCUCAGCUCACUGCAACCUCCACCUCCGGGUUUCAAGCUAUUCUUCUCCCUUAGCCUCCCAAGUAGCUGGGAUUACGGGCGCCUGCCACCACACCCAGGUAAUUUUUGUAUUUUUAGUAGAGACGGGUUUUCACCAUGUUGGUCAGGCUGGUCUCGAACUCCUGACCUUCAGAUGAUCCACCCGCCUCUGCCUUCCAAAGUACUGGGAUUAACAGGCGUGAGCCUCCACACCCAGCAACUAUUGCAUUUUAUUUUACUGUAUGUAUGUAAUACCUUAACCACACACAAAAAAUUACCUUGUUCAAAUUUUCCAGAAUUAGAAUUCUACCAGUUCCCCAAAGUCUUGCUGUUUCUCCAUGCCCCUUAGCCCUUACCAGCUGCUAGAGCUGUCUUUUCAUCCUUUGCACCCUGGCACACUCCUACUCAUCCCUCAGAACCCAAAUGUCACCUCUUAUCUCUAAAAUGUUCCUUGACAUCCUUCUGCCAAAUACUAGCCCCUUCCUCUCUGUUUACAAUGCAGAUUCGGUCCUAGUGAAUUACUGUUAUUUUCUACUCUGCCUCACUCAUGAAGGCACAAGACUUGAUUUACAUACGCUGUCCUCUUCAGGCCCUGCCACAGGGCCACAGAAGGACCUCACACAUUUCAUGUCAAUUGAGGUCACUGGACUGACCUGGGAAUGAGGAGCCUGGGUUGUUACUCCACUUUUGCACAUAGAUGUGUGACCUUGAUUAUUUUCCACCACGUCCUGGCCUCGGUUUCCUUAUCUGUUAAAAGGGAAUGACACCACAGGCCUUGCAAAAUUGAAGGGAUUAUUUCUUUGAAGACCAACAGGCGAUAGGGGGCAGUAGUGUCCCAGGAUCCAGUUUCCCGCUUCAGGUUUCAAGAAACAGGAGCAGCUGCAGUGAUGAAGUUUUCCCGACUAUGACAGUGUACAGUUGACCUUGAACAACGUGGGGGUUUGGGGCACCGACCCCUGCACAGUCCAAAAUCCUGGGGUCUUUUUUUUAAUUUGACAUGGAGUCUCCCUCUGUCGCCAAGGCUGGAGUGCAGUGGCGCGAUCUCAGCUCAUUGCAACCUCUGCCUCCCGGGUUGAAGCAAUUCUCCUGCCUCAGCCGCCCAAGUAGCUGAGAUUACGGGCGCCCGCCACCAUGCCCGGCUAAUUUUUGUAUUUUUAGUAGAGACGGGGUUUCACCAGGUUGGCCAAGCUGGUCACGAACUCCUGACCUCAGGUGAUCCACCCGCCUCGGCCUCCCAAAGUGCUGUGAUUACAGGCAUGAGCCACUGCGCCUGGCCUCAUUUUUGACUCCCCAAAAACAACUUUUUUUUUUUUUUUUUUUUUGAGAUGGAGUUUUGCUCUUGUCGCCCAGGCUGGAAUGCAAUGGCACGAUCUCGGCUCACUGCAACCUCCACUUCCCAGUUCAAGCAGUUCUGCCUCAGCUUCCUGAGUAGCUGGGAUUACAAGUGCCCACCACCACGCCUGGCUAAUUUUUAUAUUUUUAGUAGAGACUGGGUUUCGCCAUGUUGGCCAGGCUAGUCUCGACUCCUGACCUCAGGUGAUCUACCCGCUUUGGCCUCCCAAAGUGCUGGGAUUACAGGCGUGAGCCACUGCGCCCAGCCCAAAAACUUAACUAUUGACAGCAUACUGUUGACCAGAAGCCUUACCAAUGACAGUUGAUUAGCAUUUUGUUUGUUUGUUUUUCGUUUUUGUUUUGAGAUGGAAUCUCGCUCUGUUGCCCAGGCUGUAGUGCAGUGAUGUGAUCUCGGUUCACUGUAACCUCUGCCUCCUGGGUUCAAGUGAUUCUCCUGCCUCAACCUCCCAAGUAGCUGGGACCACAGGCACCCGCCACCAUGCCAGGCUAAUUUUUGUAGUUUUAGUACAGAUGGGGUUUCAACAUGUUGGCCAGGGUGGUCUCGAACUCCUGGCCUCAAGUGAUCCACCCACUCUGGCCUUCCAAAGUGCUGGGAUUACAGGCAUCAGCCACUGUGCCUGGCCAAUGACAGUUGAUUAGCAUAUUUUGUAUGUUAUAUAUAUUACAUGCUGUAUCCUUACAAUAAACCAGAGAAAAGAAAUUGUUAUUAAGAAAAUAAUAAGGAUGAGAAAAUAUAUUUACUCUUCAUGUAGUGGAAGUGACUCAUGGUAAAGCUCUUCAUCCUUGUCAUCUUUAUGUUGAGUAGGCUGAAGAGGAGGGGAGGAGGAAGGGUUGGUCUUGCUGUCUUGGGGGGUGGCAGAAGUGGAAGAAGUGGUGGAGGUGGAAAGAGAGAGGCAUGAGAGGCGGCAUACUUGGUGUAACUUUUAUUUAUUUAUUUAUUUUUAUUGAGAUGGAGUCUCGCUCUUUCGCCCUGGCUGGAGUACAGUGGCUCAACCUCGGCUCACUGCAACCUCUGUCUCCCAGGCUCAAGAGACUCUCCUGCCUCAGCCUCCCAAGUGGCUGGGAUUACAGGCGCCGGCCACUAUGCCCGGCUAAUUUUUGAAUUUUUAGUAGAGACAGGGUUUCACCAUGUUGGCCAGACUGGUCUCGAACUCCUGGCCUCAACUGAUCCGCCUGCCUCCGCCUCCCAAAGUGCCAGGAUUACAGAUGUGAGCCACGGUGCCCAGCCAGGUGAAAAAAAUCCAUAUAUAAGCGGACCCAUGCAUUUCAAACCUGCGUUGUUCAAGGGUUAACUGUAUUAUUGAACUGAAGAGUUCUACUGGUGAUCCCCUACUUCCCCAUCUUCCAGACUGGCAGACAUCCUGCUUUCCCUGGCAGGUCAGUUCUGUAAUGUGACUCCAGUGCCGUCACUGGAGGGAGACAGCCUAGAGCCUCUUCCUCUAUCCUUAACAACACAUUGAUACGCCUGUUUCCCGGAUGUCUCUUUCAACUGAUAAUAUCUUUUUUUUUUUUUUUUUUUUUGAGACAAGAGUCUUGCUCUGUCGCCCAGGCUGGAGUGCAGUGGCGCGAUCUCUGCUCACUGCAAGCUCUGCCUCCUGGGUUCACACCAUUCUCCUGCCUCAGCCUCCCGAGUAGCUGGGACUACAGGCGCCCGCCACCAUGCCCAGCUAAUUUUUUGUAUUUUUAGUAGAGACGGGGUUUCACCGUGUUAGCCAGGAUGGUCUUGUGGUCUUGAUCUCCUGACGUCGUGAUCCACCCACCUUGGCCUUCCAAAGUGCUGGGAUUAUAGGUAAGAGCCACUGCGCCCAGGCUUUUUUUUUUUUUUUAACUUGAGAUGGAGUCUCGCUCUGACUCCCAGGCUGGAGUGCAAUGGUGCGAUCUCAGCUCACUGCAACCUCCGCCUCCCGGGUUCAAGUGAUUCACCUGCCUCAGCCUCCCAAGUAGCUGGGAUUACAGGUGCAUGCCACCAUGCCCAGCUAAUUUUGUUUUUGUAUUUUUUAGUAGAGACAGGGUUUUGCCAUGUUGGCCAGGCUGGUCUCGAACUCUUGACCUCAGGUGAUCUGCCCACCUCAGCCUCCCCAGAAUGCUGGGAUUACAGGUGUGAGCUACUGCGCCUGGCCUCUGCUGAUAAUAUCUACAGAGGUUUCCUCUUAAACCAAUGGAUGCAGCCCCUUUUGUUUUCUAUUUUUGUUUGUUUCCUUUGAGACAGGGUCUGGCUCUGUCACCCAAGCUGGAGUGCAGUGGCAUGAACACGGCUCACUGCAGCCUCACAUUCCUGAGCUCAAGCAAUCCUCCCAUCUCAGGCUCUGCAGUAGCUGAGACCACAGGCACAUGCACCCACACCCAGCUAGUUUUUUUGUUUUUGUUUUUGUUUUUGUUUUUAACUAUUUGUAGAGAUGGAGGUCUCCCUAUGUUACCCAGGCUGGUCUCCAAUUCCUGGGCUCAAGCAGUCCCAAAGCACUGGGAUUACAGCCGUCAACCACCACUCCUGGCUUUUUUUUUUUUUUUUUUUUUUGAUACAACCCUUUUUGACUUCCCAAGCAACCCAACUGCAGAAGAAGGCCAAGAACAAUUUUGAUUUUAUCUAGAAAUUCAAUGUUAAUUUUCGGCUUUGAACUGAUUAAAUAAUAGUUCUAAGUCCACUUAUCAAGGAAUUAAAAUGCGGGGCUGGGCGCAGUGCCUCAUGCUUGUAAUCUCAGCACUGUGGGAGGCCAAAGGGGAUGGAUUGCUUGAGUCCAAGAGUUCAAGACCAGCCAGGGCAGCAUAGCAAGACCCCAUCUCUACAAAAAAUACAAAAAAAAAAUUAGCCAGGCAUGGUGGCACGUGCCUGUAGUCUCAGCUAUUUGGGAGGCUGAGGUGGGAGGAUCACCCAAGCCUGGGAGAUCAAGACUGCAGUGAGCUGAGCUGUGAUAGUGCCACUGCACUCCAGCCUGGGUGACAGAGUGAGACCCUGUCUCCAAUAAAUAAAUAAAUAAAUAAAUAGUGGACAUUUUUAGGAUCUCGGCGGAACACAGUGAAUUGUAUAUUGUAGGGUUUUAUUAUAUAAAUCGGGACUCAAAUUCAAAUGCCUUCAGGGAUCAGGCAGUUUAUAUGAAUCAGAGAUGGCACUAGCAUAGGCAGUAGGAGCGGGGAGGAUUGUGGCAAACUGGAUCAUAGGAUGUCAUACCUAAAUACAUUCAAUUCCAAUGUCUGAAAACACACUGGUAGCCAAACCAAAGAUGCAGCCAGAAGUCACUAAGUUUAUGGUUUACGUUAUAAAUGUAAUUGACUAUGUUAUCUGAAAUCAGAAAAGAGAUAAAGGUAACUCAAUCACAGUACUGUAAAAUGAUUGCUAUCAACUGCUUGACGUAUUUCUUUUGACGGCUCUAGUUUUUUGUUCAUUGGUUUUUUGGUUAGCAUUGUUGUAGCUAUAUUUACUCAUCAGGUGUUUUUCAACAUUACUGUUUCAGGAUCUGCAGUCAAAUUUACCCAGAGGAUCCCAGGCUCUUAGGACUUGACAGGUCACCCACAGUAAAGUGUAGUCCUAGCUACUCAGGAGGCUGAGGCAGGAGAGUCACUUGAACCCAGGAGGUGGAGGUGGUAGUGAGCCGAGAUUGCACCACUGUACUCCAUCCUGGGCAACAGAGCGAGACUUCGUCUCAAAAUAAAUAAAUAAAGUGUUAUACUUCAGUGGUUUCUGGUAUAUUCUCAGAGUUGUUCAAACAUCACCACUAUCUAAUUUCAAAACAUCUUAUUGCCCCAAAAAAGAAACCCUGUACCCAUUAGCAGUCAUUCCCCAAUCCCUCCUCUGCCCAGCCCUGGCAACCACUGUCUACUUUCUGUUCUGUGGAUUUGGAGUAGAAUCAUAUAGUAUGUGGCCUCUUGUGACUGGCUUCCUUCUCUUGGCAUGAUGUUUAAAGGUUCAUCUACAUUGUAGUGUGUGUCAGGAUUUCAUUUCUUUUUGUGGCUGAAUCAUAUUCCAUGGUAUGCAUGCACCACAUUUUGUCUACGGAUAUUUGAGUUGUUUCCACAUUUUGGCUAUUAUUAAUGCUGCUAUACACAUUUGGCAGAGUGCAGUAGCUCACACCUAUAAUCCUAGCACUUUGGGAGGCUGAGGCAAACGGAUCAAUUGAGGCAGGAGUUUGAGACCAGCUUGGCCAACAUGGCAAAACCCCGUCUCUACUAAAAAUAUAUAGCCAGGCAUGGUGGUGCAUGUCUGUAAUCCCAGCUGUUCAGGAGGCUAAGGCACAAGAAUCGCUUGAAUCCGAGAGGCAGAGCUUGCAGUGAGCCAAGAUCGCACCACUGCACUGACAGUGUUUCAUCAUGUUGGCCAAGCUGGUUUCAAACUCCUGAUCUCAAGUGAGCUGCCCACCUUGUUCUCUCAAAGUGCUGAGAUUACAGGCAUGAGCCCCUGCACCCAGCCUGCAUAACUUUUUUUAAAAGGCAUUGUUGCCUUGUUCCCUUGAAUCACUUUCUCUGGGAAACUAGCUAUCAUGUCAUGAGGACACUCAAGCAGCUCUGGGAGAGACCCCCUGUGGCUAGAAGCUGUGGAUUCUCACCAACAGCCAUGCAAGAUUCCCCAGCCCCAGUCGAGCCUUCAGAUGACCACAGCCCCAGCUGAUAUCUUGACUGCAAUAUCAUGAAAAACCAUGUGUCAGAACUGCUCAGACAUGUUGCUCCCAAAUUCUGGACCUGCAGAAACCAUGAAAGACAAUAAAUGAUUAUUGCUGUUUUAGGUCACUAUGUUUUGAGCUAACUUCUUACACAGCAAUAGAUACUAAUGCAUAUUUUAACCAGUUUCCUACAUUAAAACCUUUCUGUUGGAAAGACCUGGAGUGUGUUUUAUUUUUCUGACUGAUACAAACUCCUGUCCUGAAUUGUAAACCAAGAGUGAAAAAAUAAGAAAAAAGAGUAAAGAAGAUGGAAUAUCUAAAUACAGUCAUGUGUUACUUGAUGACAGCAAUACAUUCUGAGAAACAUAUGGGUGGCAAUUUUGUGGU